rnacentral:rRNA from 1 species
UACGUAGGUGACAAGCGUUGUCCGGAUUUACUGGGCGUAAAGAGCGCGCAGGCGGUCGAUCAAGUCGAGUGUGAAAGCCCCCGGCUCAACUGGGGAGGGUCAUUCGAUACUGCUCGACUCGAAGGCAGGAGAGGGUAGUGGAAUUCCCGGUGUAGUGGUGAAAUGCGUAGAUAUCGGGAGGAACACCAGUGGCGAAGGCGACUACCUGGCCUGUUCUUGACGCUGAGGCGCGAAAGCUAGGGGAGCAAACGGG